UGAUCAGAAAGGUUUUCGCAGUCGUUGAAAGUGGUACUGUUUUUAGAGUCUCUAGCUAACUAAAGUGUGUAGAGUUAAAAAAAGCAAUCAGUUUGUUAAGUCCCAUAUAAGGAGUGCACAAGUCAGCAAUAGUUGAGUGGAAGUUUUUUUUACAAUUUCGUUCGUGGCUUCGAUUUUUCGGUUCGAACACUGCGGUGCACGAGUUCUAAAGCAGUACCAAAUGAGACAGUGAUGCACCUUUCCGACCAUCCGACCAAAACGGAGCUAGCUCUCAAUCGGCUUGGAUGUCGUCUGGAAACAAACCUAAUUUCAAUUUUGCUUUCAGAUAGAACGUAAAAGUUCUGAAGGGGGCGUACCUAGAGAAGCGUCACCGAGAAGAGGUAUCACAAUCCUUUGCAGAGCAAAAAAGUCGUCCACUAGUCGAUCGAAUAUCAAAACGAUCAGUCAGCUGGGUCGAAAGCCACAUACCACCACCGGCGGUGGUGGAGUGAGUCAGAGAGAAAGAGAGUGAAACAGAAUGAUAGAGGAGGGAGAAAUCUGGCAGGUGAAGAAUGGCCGAAUGUGUACCCGUUAACAGUAAAAAAAGAGGUUAAACGAGGGGCCUUCCACUGCCACUGCUGCUAGUGCUGUUUUCGUACAGCUGGUGUUUUCCGAUGCCGAGGUGUGACUGCGCUGCUGACUGCCCAGGACGGCGGACUCCACCCGCGGGGGACCCCUUCUUCUGGAAGCAGAACGCGGUAAUCGUGUCACAUCGCAAGCGGAUCCACAAGCGACGACGACCCAAGUUGAGAGACGAACAUAAAAACGUCGAUGAAACCUGGUAGUAACAGAGCGGCGACAGCGUCUAGGCAACAAGUGAUAACUUCGGGUAACACACUAGGCUAGAGGAAUAGGGCAAAACAUCGCCUAAGUAGGCAGUGCUUUUUUAUGUAGUCAUCCAAUUUGUAGUUGUAAUCCAAGAUGGCGGCGACGGGUGAAAACCCAGCCAUCGAAAAGUUUUAUUUAAUUCGAUUUUCUAUUUUCCAUGAAAAACAAAGUGGCAAAAAGAAGUCACGUAUGCAGGAAGGCGACCAGCAAAACCGAUUGAAUUUCUUUCAGCCAGAGGCUUAUGUAAGCACUGCACCACUUCGCAGAUGGCAUAGAUCUUCGGUUUCGUCUGAAAUCAAUGCAGUUUUCGACGUAAUUUGGUUAGUAGGAAAGAUAGUGGGACAAGAAGAGUUAGAGUAAGAGAAAGACACACACGUAGAGAAUGAGAGAGGACAACAGCACAAAAGAGAAACCUCAAUUAAGGUCACCUUGCAGAGAGGGAAAGGAAACUUGAAAGCAAACACGCCAAGAAAUUACGUGUAGCGGUAACUAGCGCUGGUUUUUUAUUUUACGAUCAGAGCUUUUUUCGAAUUUACAGCCCAAGCGCACGCGAAGCGGACUCCAAGCGCAGCGCAGAGUUCAGUUACGUUUUCCAUACGGAGCCGUCUAGCUUCUCCGGACUCCCCCCCACCCUCUUUGGUAGACACCGUGAUGUUUUAAUAUUAUGUUGCGCGCUAGUGAAGUUGAACGUGUCUGGACGUGUAUUCUCACAUUGGAAAGUCUACGACACAGGAAGAGAAAUUUACUUUCAUUUUACAGAAAACAUACAGAGCAAUGAAUGCAUCGCCCACUUCCAGCGCAGUCUGUUUGUGAAGACGAUCGUCGAGGUAAAGUGCAAUCGUUUAUUAGUUCAACGCACGUUUGUGUUUUUUUGCAGAGCAGAAGUAGCAUUUUGAGAGGUACCCCUCUAGGCAGAAUUCGAAAUUGAAACGCACCUAUUAUCGACAGCAGGCUACGUGAAAGGAACACGAAUUGUUGUUACAACUGCGGUUAAAUCUAAAUCCGGCGGUAUGCUGAGCUUUUAGUAGAACCUACUUAGAAACUUAGGAAAUCAUUACUGGAAGACGUUGAACCGUCCUCACGUUGUUAGUAGAAACGAAACCCCCAUUCUGAUUAUUUGCAGCCAUCGACGGAAGUUCUCUUCGGGACCGACUCUCGGCAGUCGAGUUUCUUUGUUCUGUUUUUCUUUGUCUCAUCCAUGUUUGAAAGGCAUCCGGAUGGCUAAUUUGGUCCACUCCGGAUUCGCACGCGGUUUGGAACCAGCCAGAGAAACGGCGGUAAACAACCAUGUUACAUCUCUCGAAACCACGUAUUUUCAUCUUUGCAGAAUACCACCUACCAAAGCAGAUGGGCCCGGCCCAUGCUUUAGCUUUUUCUCCUUUCAAUACCCUCGUUACGGGAUGAUUCUUCACAAAACGGCGGUAAAUUUGUGGCUUGGACAAACAACAAACAACGAGGAAGCAAACAAAUGAAUGUAGGAUCUUGCAAAACAGCAUUAUCUUGUCUUUGCAGCCAGAAUCAACGGACCGGCGCACGCCUCUUCUCGAGAGCAAGCCGAGUUUCUAUGUUUUUAUUUUUUCCACUUAUUGCCACCAGAGGUACGCACCUACCUGGUCUUGGAGCAAACCAAAGAACGCGGACCUUAGGCCCUCUCCCCUUAAUCAGACUACUCUCCUACGACGGAAGUAGUACCACGGGAAUCGCAUGAACUCGGUCGGUAAAAGCCUACAAAUACGUACCACACAACCCGAGUUUUCGUCUUUACAGCAUUCCCCGAAAGGUCCGGCUUCGAGCCGAGUUUCUUUGUCUCUAUUAUCUAUUUUUUCAAUCUACAAUCUGGGCACCCGGAAAUGCCAGAAGCAUGGGAACUGUCCACACACACUGAAUGAACGCAAUGAGCGAGAAGAGACAUGGGUCGACCCCCCUCCCCCCGCCACCGAACGAUUAGGGCCAGGAGAGAUCAACUAUGCGAAGCUACGAAGUUUUUGUUUCUAUUACGGUCCGGCUCUUAUAACCAGCCGAGUUUCUGUGUUUUUUUUGUUUUUUUUUCUUCUAACAAUUAUUUGACAACCUAUUCCGAACGGAACUCGAAGAGGCAAAUCCAAGUACUAUCCAAGUAGACACAGACAAAACAAUCCACGUGAUGAGACCAUUCGAAAACAAAAGGCAUUCCCUCUAAAUAGUAGACUACAGCAAAAUCGGCAGAACCUGAAUCGAUGCGGUAACAUCAAAACAAUUCCCUGCAACCACCAGAAUCGUUUUCUUUUACAGUUAUCAAAAAGUUAGAAAGUUGGAAUUAGAACGUAUAAAUCUUGGAAGGAAAACACGAAAGUACAUAUCAAACGAAAUGGGAAGAAAACAAACGUCACACAGCACUGAAAUGAAUUCCAUCUGUCAGCGAGAUGAGAUCUAGUAAGCAGAAUUUUUUUUUGCAAACACAAUCAGCAUUUUAUUUACAGACGAGAACAGUUUGAAAUCGUAUAUCAUACUGCGGAAAGUCACAUCAAGUUUCAACAGUUUACAACAGGCUCUACCCCAAUUGCGAACGUAAGCCAAAAUGUAUUUUUUCCAGAAAACCAGCUUUUUCGUAUUUACAGCAUUUUCUAAAUGGAGUUAAACUAAAUCAAGUACAGAAAAAAGCACGACUCGAGUAGUAAUGCCAAGUUUAUGUCUAACACAAGUUUAGUGUGAAAAGUCACUCAAAUUCGCCGAGGAAGCGCCCCGUUUUGCAUUAUGCGGUAACCGAAUGUUCAAUUCUCCCCCCGACAACCAGAGUUUUCCUCUUUUGCAGCCACAAAAAACGUAAUGCAAUGCUUAAAGUGAAUAAUCCCAACUAGGCACUAGUUUUGCUGUCGGAUUUGGGCGACAACGACGACAACAACAACGACGUUCAGGGUUAAUGCGAUUGGUGCGUGCGUGUAUGUGCGAUGGACGGGCUAUUUGUUUUUGGACGGUGCAUCCUUUUCGCGUUAUGGGUUUCUGUGUUUUCUUCAUUGUGCCUACACAACAAGAUGUGAGCGGCCGGUGUGCAGACGACGGCCGUCAAGCCGCGAAGCCAGCAAACAAAAGCAUGUGUGGUGGUAGCUAUGCUAAUUUCCUACACUAUUGUUUUAUCUUAAACCAAUCAAGCAAAAAAAAAACGUAUUUUCGUUCUAAGUCUAAUAAUCCGUAGUUGCGUUAGUAGUGUUUUGUGUUUACUUACUCGGCCCCUCAAGCCGGGGGUUUGUUUACGAUAAUCUUUUUUAUAUUUCCGCAGAAACUCACCUUUCUAAUGCAUUACACUUUAGUGGUUGUUCCAAGUUUGAAAUGGUUGUGAAUUUACUCGAUAAGUUAAAGGAAGGAAACAAAGAACAAACAAAAAAAAGAACAUCACGCUUUAGAGAUGAGCUGUGUUAUGGGCUUCGAUGUAACUUAUACAUUUAUUCAUUUCUUACCUUAAAGUACUCUCUGUUAACAUUGUAUUUUACUCAUAGUUGCUUUGCCUUUGAGCACCUGGAAAGCUAAACAAACAUGUAAUCCCUCCGAAAAAAUGGGAAAUCGUAGAAUUUAUUUUUCUCCUCUAAUACUGUGUACAAUUAGCACUUAAGAGUGACUUACGUUGAUUCUUGCACCACUAACCAACACACACAUACACUGGAAAAAAAAACCUGCUAAUAUGCUUUUGAAAGUUGGGUGAAGAAAAAUGGAGCAAAUGGUUUUUUUUGUGAUGAUUAUGAGAAACGAAAAAUUAUAAGAGUUUAAAAUGAAGUUAAUUUGUGAGCACGGUUUUCGAUGAAAAUCGCUGCAUGUAAGAGAAAACAAAACAAAAAGAAAGAAGGCACGGGCUUCGGUGAAGUUCGCUGCGUGAAAAAAUAACGCCUACUGCGAGAAGACGGGCUGCUCGAUGCUCCAGUGGACAUCCAGCGUGACGAGCCCGUCAUCAUCAUCAUCAUCAUUAUUAUUGCUACGAAAAAAGUAAGAAACAAAGACAAAGUUCACACAAAAGUGCCUGUCGUUUGUUGUGUUUUGGUCGAAAAUAUUUUUAAUAUUUUGUUUGUGAAUUUGUGAAUCGUUUAUAUUGAUAUUGUGCUUGCUCAUGAUACUAGUGUUAGUGUUAACAUCUAGUUUUUAUAAGCUUUGAUAUUCCGCCUGAGGGGUGUUCUGUUUAUUUUACAUGAAAAAUUUGUGAAUGUUUUUUUUAGAAGAAAAAAAGUAAGUUUGUUUUUUUUUGGUUUUGUAAAAUGUACCGUUGCAUUGCGAUGUGAUUUUGGACUAAUUAAACCAAUGAAAAUGAAGAUCUUGUAUGCUAUCAUGUUAAAUUUGGAAUUUUGCUCUGUGAUGAAAUGGAAUUGUAUAGUGAGUGAUCUAGUGAUUGGAAUUUUUACUAUGUCAAACUUUUCUAAGCAUAUAUUUUGUUUCACUGAUAUAAUCUAUUGUUCAACGCAACCAUCAACUUCUUAUAUGAAGCUUUCGAUUGUAACAAUGCCAUAACAUUUACUAAAAGUAUUGUAUUAGCAAUGUGUAUCUUACCUUACCUUCGGUGUAUAUUUAAAAUAAUGUAAUAGUUGAGGCAAUUAUUGAGCAUGUGUUAAAUAUGACGCAAGUAGAGCGCACUCCCCCUCGCCCGCCAGCAGUCCCACAGAACCCGAUCAGCCCGAGAACCUAGAGGGAAGUCGAUGACAGAACUUUUGAGACGCGAAUGCACCCACCAGAACAGACACCUGCACAUCGCUUCCAUCCAUCGCCUGUAUCGCUGGCCAAGUGCGUGUUUGUUUCCGCAUAACUUCAUCGCCACACUUUCGCAAAAAAUUGGGCAGCAUCCAACACCACCACCACCACCAUCCACCAUCCCUGUAUUUUCUGUAUGUGUUCUUCUGUGCACGAAUUACUGCUUUGCAAAAAGAUGACGUUUACUAGCAAAAAAAGUGGGAUCAUCGGAACAACAUCAUAGCAAGCCUGGCACGCACGAACCGUCGCAGUUUCCAUGACGUCUUUGAAUGAGGCUCCCCUUCUCCGCCUUCUGAUGUAACACGCACACACGAUAAAGAAUCGAAUCGAAGUGACCGUCGACAGACACAUUCGGUAAAUCCCCAAACCCCCCCUUUUUUCAGCUAACCACGCGUGGAAGGCGCGUGUUUUUCUCUUUUUUUCAGAUUAUUUAGAUUCAGAUUUGAUACGAUAUUUAGUACGACCUGGGCAAACUUAGUUGGCUUAUUGCUUCCGAUGCGUGUAUUUGUGUGAAUGUUUUACCUUGCGACCGUCGAUCCGGCCGUCUUCCUUUGACAAAAGCCGGCAUCAGGACGCAUUCUUCGUUCGUCGGGAUGGGAAUUCGCUUAGGAAUCGGUUGAUUUUGACGUCGUCUUUGGCAUCCCCCUGUACACGGCGUUUGACUGAUUUUGAGGAAUUAUUUUCCCGGGAGAUUCGAGACACUUUGGGACACCCCGGCGUAGGAGGAAUUCUACCGAAUUUAGAAGCAGUACAGUGAUUCAAAAAUAACCAAAAUCAAACAAUGGAAUGAAGCAGUAAUUUUCAAAAAACAGUGACAAAUGAAAGUAUAACAAUUGGCCUACCAUGGUUGCCUGUAUCGACGCAUAAUGGAGGCUAUCCGGAAAUUUACAACAAAAUAAUUAAACGGAAAGUGAAAGUUAGAAUAUGUUUUCGAAUAAUCCUGAGGAUGGCGAGCAAGCCUCCAUGAAAAAUGACACGACGACAGCAACAAUCUAGUCAUCCUGUGUUAAAUUGCGAGCAACUAGCAACUGAACGAAAGUCAAGCUCCAGCAAUUCAUAACAAAACCAAAGCUUGCUGUGACCAUAAUUGAUCAAGAGACCACCCAAUUGUCUCUGUCGAUCAAAUUCGAGCUCGCUGGAUGAAAACAAAUCCCGUUUCCGAACGGUUUUAGUAAUGUCUACCAACGUGCGCACAUUAGAAGCGUUGUGAAAGACAUCAAUCUUACUAAAGGAAAGUUUGCCUGCCACAAUGGCUACCAAGCAGUUAAGAAGUGAAACAGUUCCUGAAAAAUAAAUAUUAGUAAAAAAACAUCGAAGUUACCAGUAAAAUCCACAAAAUCAAGUUGCUGAAUGGCCCUUUAUACUUGGCCAAAACCUACGAACUCUUUUGCUGCAAACACAGCUGGAAGUUAAAGUUAAAAUUACUCCACUAAAAUAUGGGAAGUUUAUCCAUAAAUCAAUCAAAAGCCAUAGCCGAAAUGUUAGUGAAAUGCAAUGGUGCUGAACAACUGAUAAGAUGAAGUUUUUUUUGCUGAACUGAAACGUGUUGAAAAUCAAUCCUUUUUUCCUGUUGGCGAAAGUUCAAAGUUCAUUCACAAUGAAGAAAAACUGGCCUACUAAAUCAUCGGCAAUUGACUGUGUAAAGUUUUUGAACCAGUUUUCUGAAAAGUCUCCUGUUCUUCCAGUGGAAGUCUGUUACAACAAUCUACUAGUAAUCCUUCAGUAGUGCAAUUGAAUUGAAAUCAGUACUAAUGAUGGCGCACGCAGUGCAGUUAUGAAAAGUUUGAAUCAAAUCAAAGCAAGCCCGUUGUCUGAUGAGGCAAAUUUGAAGAUAUGACAAGAAGUGACAAGAAGGCGUUUUACCACAGUAGAUCAAAAUAAUGAUGGUCGCAGUGGUGCUCAUCUUCCGACAAAGCAAAAGAAAAGCCAAGAAGCCGUAUAAAAUCUUUCUUUGCGAAUUAAUGUGAGAUAUAAUGUUGAAGCCAGAGUGGCGGAAGUGUUUUUCAAUUUAAUUGGUAAAUUGCCAACUUCUACUGCUAUAGCAGCAUCAGUAGCACGAAAUGCAUGAAAAUAUAUUAGAAGUGCAGCAGUAGCAGCAGCAACAGCAGCAGCAGCAACAACAGCAGCUAAGUCAAUUUUUUUUGGAAAGCUGUCGAGAAGGUCGAAGACCGCGCUGCCACAGCUCGCGUGAAGCAGAGUUUGAAAAAUUUGGGAAAAAGUUGGUCAGCGAUGUUUGCUGCCGGAAUCAAACCGAGAGUGUUGAAAAAUGUUGGAAAAAAGUUUAAAGAGGCUUUUUGUAAAGCUCUGCAAUUGGACUGCAAUAAACUUACUACAAGUAGUGAAGUGUUUGGAAAAAAGUGUUAUCAGAUGAGAGAGUUUAAUCUAUAGCAGAAGUCCGGCAAAAGCCGCGUGCUAUGAAGUAAAAAUGGGCUCACUACCGAUAGCCAUACCAGCCUCCGGCUGAGGUAUUCUUUGUCAAUCUACACGCAACGGAUAGCCGAACGAAAUCAGUUUAACGUAUUCACAAAGGCUGUUUAAGCUUUCGUUUCUUUUCGGUGCACAACCGAAGAGGGACACUGCCCAUAAACAGACUUUACAUUCUGUGACCUCCGAAAUGGCGAUGUAAUUCGCAUACAAUGUUCUACAAUCUAAAAGGAUUCCAAGUCAGAGUUGUUCCCGUUUUUGGAUUCAAGAA